UGUGUGUGUGUAUAUGGAUGUAGGGAUCAGGCAGUGUGUGUGUGUGUGUGUGUGUAUGGAUGUAGGGAUCAGGCGGUGUGUGUACACGCACACUGCCUGAUCCCUACAUCCAUACACACACACUGCC